rnacentral:rRNA from 1 species
AUUGAACGCUGGCGGCAGGCCUAACACAUGCAAGUCGAACGGUAGCACAGAGAGCUUGCUCUCGGGUGACGAGUGGCGGACGGGUGAGUAACGUCUGGGAAACUGCCCGAUGGAGGGGGAUAACUACUGGAAACGGUAGCUAAUACCGCAUAACGUCGCAAGACCAAAGUGGGGGACCUUCGGGCCUCACACCAUCGGAUGUGCCCAGAUGGGAUUAGCUAGUAGGUGGGGUAAUGGCUCACCUAGGCGACGAUCCCUAGCUGGUCUGAGAGGAUGACCAGCCACCCUGGAACUGAGACACGGUCCAGACUCCUACGGGAGGCAGCAGUGGGGAAUAUUGCACAAUGGGCGCAAGCCUGAUGCAGCCAUGCCGCGUGUAUGAAGAAGGCCUUCGGGUUGUAAAGUACUUUCAGCGGGGAGGAAGGCGGUGAAGUUAAUAGCUUAACCGAUUGACGUUACCCGCAGAAGAAGCACCGGCUAACUCCGUGCCAGCCGCCGCAGUAA